AAACGGGUACCGAGAAGGAUCUACUGCCUUCACACGCGCUCCUUUUAACUUAAAACACUGCUUUCACCUUAAAAGAGAAACAAGAGGAACACACGGACGCCAGAAAGAGAAUGACGGAAACGGAGGGGUCAUCUCCAGCAGGGUCCGAAUCCUCAGAUGGAACCACAGGCCACCAGGCCAGCACAGGGGCCUCCGGGAGGGUCCGCCCUGCUCCACGGCCGCAGGGCAGGUCAACAGUGUCCAAGCAAGGACGGUCCCAGGAUCAUCCACAGAAGGAAACUGGCAGCAGGCCCUCCACACAUGACCAAGGAAUCUGCAGUCCGCUAAGCGGGGAGGGCGCUGCCCACGUCAAUCUACACAGAAAAGCACCCCUAGAGGAGCCAGCCUCAAAGGAAGCGCAGAGGA
rnacentral:lncRNA from 1 species